AAGUGAUAAAUGGUGUACCAUACUUGUUUACGGUUCAAGGUGAUUUAUUACUUU
rnacentral:tRNA from 1 species